AUGGGGACUAGCAUGAAAAUAUUAAGGGAGGGGAAGAGAAGAGGGGAGGGAAAUGGGGAAAAUAGAGAGAAUGGAAAGAGGGGGAGGAAGAGACAGAGAGAAGAGAGAGAAGAUGUGAGGAGAAAGAGAGAGGGAGUAAAAGAGGGAGAGAGAGAGAGAGACAGAGAGAGACAGAGAGAGAGAGAGAGAGAGAGAGAGAGAUAUGGAUGGAAAUCAUUUUACAUAUAUAUAAUUGCUUCUAUAGCACCCGCACAGAAUGUCAGAUAUAACCUAGUCCAAACAAUAUUUGACCAGGAAUCUAAUCUAAAACAUUGUCUUGGACUCAGGAAGACCUAUGUUCAAAUCUAGUGUCAAAUACUUUCUAGCUGUAUGACUUUAGGCAAAUCAUUUGAUCUCUGUUUGUCUCAGUUUCCACAUCUAAAAAAUUAGGAAAAUAAGAAUAAGAAUGGCAGGUACCUUCUAGUAUUCUUGUGAAAAAUAGAAGAGCUAAUAUUCAUAAAGCACUUUACAAAUCAUUAUCAUUACAAUUACUAUUAUUAACAACAUCAUCCCCCAACAAACGAUCAUUUGGCUUUCAUGUUAAUACCCCAAUUGAAGGAAAAUCUAUCUCCCAAGGCAGUAGAUUCUACUUUGGAAAAUUCUUAAUUAAUAGCAUUUCCCCCAUCUCUUCAUAUUAAGCCUUCAUUUGCCACUAUAACUUCGACUUUUUGUUUUGGGUUUGUUUGUUUGUUUUUUUUUUUUGUCCUUUGGGACUUGGGGAAACAAGGAGAACAAAGUUCUUUUACUUGACAGCUUUAUAAAUACUCAAAGACAAUCUAUUCAGUUCCUAAAAUCUUCGUAAAGUUAUAUGAGAAAUUACUUUUUAACAGAAUAUUUGUUUUCUUUCAAACAAUUACUGGCCCAACUUUGUGGAAGGCUGAUUUCCUUCAGACAUUUAUGGUGAGACCCAGCAAAAACCUGACAGCUCUGCGACAUGACAACACUACUUAUCUCAUAUAGAGUUAAUAGGAAUGCAGUUACAUAUUUCAAAUGCCAUCAUUUUCAAGCUUAAUGAAUUUCAAAACACUGCCCAACUGUGUUGAAUUCUGGGUAGCAGAAUAAGAUUUCACCCCUUCUCCAGGAAGGGGUUAAGAUACAGAGAAUGCUACUGCUUUCAGAUAAACCAAUUCAACAAUGUUGUAGUUGUCCUUAAUUUCUUUACUCAGCUAUCCUAAUUGAAGAACUAUCUGAGUUGGUUUUGUUACACAUCUAAAAACAUGGUUUUUCAAUUUCAAUUAGUCAAUUUUUUAUCUUGUAAACAGGUCAAUAAAGUUCAAUACAAUGUAGUUAUAUGGUUAUAA
rnacentral:lncRNA from 1 species